rnacentral:rRNA from 1 species
UACGUAGGCAGCAAGCGUUGUUCGGAGUUACUGGGCGUAAAGGGUGCGUAGGCGGUCCUAUAAGUAUGGUGUGAAAUCUCCCGGCUUAACUGGGAGGGUGCGCUAUAGACUGUGGGACUAGAGUGUGGGAGAGGAAAGUGGAAUUCCUGGUGUAGCGGUGAAAUGCGUAGAUAUCAGGAGGAACACCGGUGGUGUAAACGGCUUUCUGGACCAUAACUGACGGCUGAGGCACGAAGGCCAGGGGAGCAAACGGGG